UAAAACGUAGGUCACAAGCGUUGUCCGGAAUUACUGGGUGUAAAGGGAGCGCAGGCGGGAAGACAAGUUGGAAGUGAAAUCUAUGGGCUCAACCCAUAAACUGCUUUCAAAACUGUUUUUCUUGAGUAGUGCAGAGGUAGGCGGAAUUCCCGGUGUAGCGGUGGAAUGCGUAGAUAUCGGGAGGAACACCAGUGGCGAAGGCGGCCUACUGGGCACCAACUGACGCUGAGGCUCGAAAGUGUGGGUAGCAAACAGGAUUAGAUACCCUGGUAGUCCACACCGUAAACGAUGAUUACUAGGUGUUGGAGGAUUGACCCCUUCAGUGCCGCAGUUAACACAAUAAGUAAUCCACCUGGGGAGUACGACCGCAAGGUUGAA
rnacentral:rRNA from 1 species